GGCGCGCACCCCGCUCGCUCCCGGAACUGUCAUGCGGGCUGACAGCUGGCACACCCUCCUGUCGCCCUCCACCCGCCUGCAGAAAGCCCACUCCCUACAGUCACCUUGACAUUGCUCACCUGCCUGGGCCUCAGCCCAUGACCAAGGAAACUUUUGCCCUCCCUCCCCAGGAGCUCACUUACAGGCCAGCUUCAAAGGUACUGCCUACCUGAACCUGCCUUGUCCCAAAGGACACACUUCAGUCUGGGGAGAGUUUAAAGUUGUAGACAUAUCCAUUUUCAUUUAAGGAAUAUGAAGAUCAGGGAGGCAAAAUAUAGAGAGGAAAAACUGAGAGAUGAUCAGAAAUUCAGACGCAUUCUGGAAUGAGCACCCUUGACCAUACCAAGAACAAAGACUCUAUAAAAAUGUGAAGUCUUAUUAUUAUUCAUCCAUGUUCUACGUGGGAUCCACCCAAGACAUUGAAAACUGUACAGAACAGGGUGAAAUUGAAUCAGAUCAUUCUGUACUCCUAACAAGGUCCACCCCAUGAGAGACUUGCAGCAGAAUUAAUGACACUGUAUAUUUUCCUCUACUAACAACAACAACAACAACAACAACAACAACAACAAUCUAGGAAAAUCAAAGGCAGCCCGACAUGGAAAAUAACACAAAAUGAAUAUUUGGAUUACAGAUAGUGUGAUGGGAAGAACACACUGCCAAAAGUCCACCUAGUAUGUUGAAAUUACUGUUUCUAGCACAUAUAAGAUUUGCUGCCAAUUUGUACUGACUUCUGAAAAAUACUUCAUCCAUUGUCUUCUUACAUCAGAAUCAACUCCCUAAAUUCUUCAGCACUGGCUUUGUAAACUGGUUUCUGGUCUUUGUUUCUG